GAGUUUGAUUAUGGCUCAGGAUGAACGCUAGCGAUAGGCUUAACACAUGCAAGUCGAGGGGCAUCACGGGAUUAGCUUGCUAAUCUUGGUGGCGACCGGCGUAAGGGUGCGUAACGCGUAUGCAACUUGCCUGUCAGUGGGGAAUAACCCGGAGAAAUCCGGACUAAUACCGCAUACACUUUGGUUUCCGCAUGGGGACUUUAGGAAAGAUUUAUUGCUGACAGAUAGGCAUGCGUUCCAUUAGAUAGUUGGUGAGGUAACGGCUCACCAAGUCAACGAUGGAUAGGGGAGCUGAGAGGCUUAUCCCCCACACUGGAACUGAGACACGGUCCAGACUCCUACGGGAGGCAGCAGUGAGGAAUAUUGGUCAAUGGGCGAGAGCCUGAACCAGCCAAGUCGCGUGAAGGAAGACGGUCCUAUGGAUUGUAAACUUCUUUAGUAGGUGAGUACAAGCAGUUACG
rnacentral:rRNA from 1 species